rnacentral:lncRNA from 1 species
CAGCUUCUCUCUCCACUCUCGCAAGGUAAGUUCGUUUAGAUAGGGCUUUUCUUUGCGUUAGCAGUAAACGAGUAAGACAGCAAUUUGGAAAGCGAAGCUGCUUGCAACGAGCUAAGAGGUCUGUUAGAGGCGAUCAAGAAAUCGUGUUGAAACUCUCAACGUUUGAAAAUUGCAACGCAAAAGGGAGCCAGUGACACUACAAACAACUCAAACGGGCCAAGGAACUCUCAACGCGAAGGAUGUGGACAACGCUCUGUGAAUACAAACAAACUAGAUGUUGCCAGGUUCGCGUGUGUUUUGAAAUUUCUUGUCAUGAAGAAGCCAACAUGUUGGUGCUGCUCAACGACGAUAAGAACUGAAAAACGCCUUGUCACAGCGUGUGCCAAGAAGAAAAAUGCUACUAGAUUGGAGAGAUUUUGUGUCAACGUUUUGGAGAGAUUGUCAGUGCUUUGAGUUAUGUUGUUGCUGCGCUCAACGCAAGACCGGUGAGCUGAGAAACAACGUUGGGCAUCUGCGAUCUUCAGAACUUCAAUCCAGCUGAAGACGUACAUGACAAUGACAACAACAAUCAUGAUCCGUCGCUGAUCCUUAGCCAGACCGGUCAACUGCCGCACCUCUCCACCUCUGAAG